rnacentral:rRNA from 1 species
AGGGGGCAAGCGUUGUCCGGAAUUAUUGGGCGUAAAGCGCGCGCAGGCGGUUUUUUAAGUCUGAUGUGAAAUCUUGCGGCUCAACCGCAAGCGGUCAUUGGAAACUGGAGAACUUGAGGACAGAAGAGGAGAGUGGAAUUCCACGUGUAGCGGUGAAAUGCGUAGAUAUGUGGAGGAACACCAGUGGCGAAGGCGACUCUCUGGUCUGUAACUGACGCUGAGGUGCGAAAGCGUGGGUAGCGA